GACACAGGUGCUGCAUGGCUGUCGUCAGCUCGUGUCGUGAGAUGUUGGGUUAAGUCCGUAACGAGCGCAACCCUUGUCCUUAGUUUACCAGCACGUUAUGGUGGGCACUCUAAGGAGACUGCCGGUGACAAACCGGAGGAAGGUGGGGAGUGACGUCAAGUCAUCAUGGCCCUUACGGCCUGGGCUACACACGUGCUACAAUGGUCGGUACAAAGGGUUGCCAAGCCGCGAGGUGGAGCUAAUCCCAUAAAACCGAUCGUAGUCCGGAUCGCAGUCUGCAACUCGACUGCGUGAAGUCGGAAUCGCUAGUAAUCGUGAAUCAGAAUGUCACGGUGAAUACGUUCCCGGGCCUU
rnacentral:rRNA from 1 species